UCAAGCUGAGCUCUGAGAUGGUUAGGGUUCUGCAGCUGCCUGAAGAGUAAGUACAUAUUCAUGUGAGACCUCAAUCUGCUGCCCUUUAGCCAGGAGGUCUGAUCUGAUUUUGCUCCUAACAGGGUAUCUAUCCAUGCCCUGAGGAAAAGGCUCCCUGCUGCUGACAAGCCGACUCAAAACCUUAAAACUGACACAUCCAAUAACACUGAGAUGUGCUCAGAGAGGGGCUUCCAUGGCCAGAGCCGAUAAGCUCAGAUGCCACAGAGGACUCCCAUUCUGUCUCAGAAAUGUGGGAAGCAACAGCUGUGUUGACUGUGCCUUGGAGCCUUCAUCCUUUCACCCUCUUGAUGGGGUAUUUUACCCCUCUCAGCACUCCACUUCUGCACCAGGGAUGAGACACAGGAAACAUGGAGAGGAAAUCAUCUUGCACCAUGAGGCAUCUAUCUAUCUGUCAGAGGCAAGUUUCUUGAUAUCAGCAUAGAGAGACCUCUGAUUUUUGCCACUUUCUCAAAUUGGGCAGGGGAAGGUAGGUGGUGCCAGUUGACUAGUCCCCAGAAAUUCCUGAACCAAGUUGGAAAACAGUGGAGAGCUGAGGCUUGACCUAGACUGCUCUAUUGACAGCAGGUGUCAGGAUAACCAGCAGCCUGUCCUUCUCCUGUACCCUGACCUGAGCUGUUAAUUCUCAGUCAGGGCUGGUGUACUAAAAAGUUGAGGUAUUACAUACAUGCCUUUUAUUGUUUAAUCCUUGAAACAAUCUUAAGAGCUAAAGGUUUUUUUUGUCCCCUUAGCAGGUUAGAAUUCUAAGCAGUGAAAGUCUUGUCCAAGGAGGGAGAUCUAAUCAUUAGCUGAAACAGGACUUGAGCCAACCACAUCUCAUACAAUAGUACCUUCAUAUCUAUCCACUUCCCACAGUAGGAGUAUAGACCGUUGCCUGAGGAAUCUCUGGGAUGAAACCUGGCACACAGAUUUCAAAUUGGUCUAGCAAGCACCCAUAGGAGCCAGGGCAGCAUGGAAGAAUUGAGUCUAUGUGACAGAGAAACAGCUAACCUGGCUGCUGGUUCACUGCUGGACUUGCUUAUCUUUAGAGAAUUUGUAUAGGUUGUAUUUCUGCCCCCACCCUUUUUGAGCUACACCCCAGCCUGUGGAUUGUAUUUUUGAUACCCUUUCAAAACUUGAUAUUUAACACUUGUCCUUCACUACAUCAAUACCAUAUGUGGUGCACUGGGGCAAACAGAACUCCCCUCCAAAGAUACAUGUGUGACUAAUUCCCCCCAAACCUGUGAAUAUCACAUUAUAUGGCUAAAGACAUGAUUAUAUUAAGGACCUGGUGAUGAGGAGCCUGUUCU